GGACACGUAAUAACUAUGGAACUUCAUCACAAACACAGCACUGAGGACAUGUUAAGGAGACAUGCAUACAAGGAGAAUGCCAGGUGAACGUGAAGACCAUCAUUUGCAAGCCAAGAGAGGCCUGGAGCAGAUCCUUCAGAGCCCUCAGAAGGGACCAACCCUGCUGGCACCUUGAUUUUGGACUUCCAGCCUCCAGAACUAAGAACUUGAUGUAUACCUCCUGACCUGUUCAUCUUGUAGCUGCCUCUUGACAGAUAUAAGAGGCCGCCCUGUAGAGGAGGAAGGAGGAAGUUGGCUGUGAUUGACCUUGCUAGGUCAUCUUCCUAAUCUUUGUCCUUUCCUGCACCCCAAAUGGAAGAUAAAAGGCAAUGCAAGAUCAGCAUCCUCAGAGACAUCGUUUUGUUUGGGUUUCAUGGAUUGCAAUUGCCAGAGAUGCUUAGGCUGCCUCUAGAGGGAAGAUGAUUGAUUGUUAACCUAUGUGGUCCAACCAAAUGUCUUAGGGGUUAUUGAUAAUUAAAAUGGACAAUAGCGAUUUUCCAUUUCUUCUGGCCUUGGGUGCUGGCAUGUGGAAGUGGUAUUGAUACUCAUGACCAAAUAGGCACUUAUCGAUUUCAGUUUUCAUAAGUUGCCUACCAAAUGCAAACUAGUAACCCAGACGUGGGAGACCUAAUAUUCCAUUGUUAAUCUUUAGGUCCAUAAUUUUUAUUUCCUCUACUUGCCUCUUCUUCCUUCCUCUGCAUAAUGAGUUGGGCUUAUAUAAUUGCACCCAUUUACUCACUCAUUCGUUCAAUCAAUUAUUUGUUCCUAUUUUAUGCCAAGUAAUGAACAGAAGGUGUUGGGGAUGCAAAACCCAACUAAUUGGAAUUUCUAUGUUACAGGAGCUUAUGCUUUAGUGAAAUUAUAGACAAAUUAUUAUACAGUUUUAAUCCAGAAUAGUAAGUGCUAUGGGAGCAUGCACAGAGGAAACAACCCAAUCUUAAGGAAUCAGGAAGGUUUGCAGAGGACUGACAGGAAAAGUGGGCAGGUGAAGAAGAUGGGCAGUGAGAGGAGGAGUGGAAGCACUUUUGCUAGGGAAAAACAUGAAUAAAAGGGAUAAUUUUCUGCUCUUACCCCUGGGUGAUCUUUGCGUGGUACUGUCCAUCACAGUUGGGAGAGACGGCUCCUCAGAGCUGCUCCACACUGUUCAC
rnacentral:lncRNA from 1 species